UACGUAGGCAGCAAGCGUUGUUCGGAGUUACUGGGCGUAAAGGGUGCGUAGGCGGUUGUUUAAGUUUGGUGUGAAAUCUCCCGGCUCAACCGGGAGGGUGCGCCGAAUACUGAAUGACUAGAGUGCGGGAGAGGAGUGUGGAAUUCCUGGUGUAGCGGUGAAAUGCGUAGAUAUCAGGAGGAACACCGGUGGUGUAGACGGCUCUCUGGACCGUAACUGACGCUGAGGCACGAAAGCGUGGGUAGCAAACAGG
rnacentral:rRNA from 1 species